GUAGGUGGCAAGCGUUGUCCGGAAUUAUUGGGCGUAAAGCGCGCGCAGGCGGUUCUUUAAGUCUGAUGUGAAAGCCCACGGCUCAACCGUGGGGGGUCAUUGGAAACUGGAGAACUUGAGUACAGAAGAGGAAAGCGGAAUUCCACGUGUAGCGGUGAAAUGCGUAGAGAUGUGGAGGAACACCAGUGGCGAAGGCGGCUUUCUGGUCUGUAACUGACGCUGAGGCGCGAAAGCGUGGGGAGCAAACAGGGAUUAGAUACCCUGGUAGUCCACGCCGUAAACGAUGAGUGCUAAGUGUUAGGGGGGUUUCCGCCCCCUUAGUGCUGCAGCUAACGCAUUAAACACUCCGCCUGGGGAGUACGACCGCAAGGUUG
rnacentral:rRNA from 1 species